rnacentral:rRNA from 1 species
AACGAACGCUGGCGGCGUGCUUAACACAUGCAAGUCGAACGUGAAAGACUUCGGUCGAGUAAAGUGGCGAACGGGUGAGUAACGCGUGGGUAAUCUGCCCUCGGGCGGGGGAUAACCUCUCGAAAGGGGGGCUAAUACCGCAUGAGACCACGGCUUCUUGGAGCUGUGGGAAAAGGUGGGUCGCAAGACCAGCCACCUGAGGAUGAGCCCGCGUACCAUUAGGUAGUUGGUGGGGUAAUGGGCCUACCAAGCCUGAGAUGGUUAGCUGGUCUGAGAGGACGAUCAGCCACACUGGGACUGAGACACGGCCCAGACUCCUACGGGAGGCAGCAGUGGGGAAUAUUGCGCAAUGGGGGAAACCCUGACGCAGCAACGCCGCGUGUGUGAAGAAGGCCUGGUCGUAAGCACUGUUGGUAGGAACGAGCCGGCCGUCGGUUAAGAGCUGCGGUCCCGACGGUACCGUCCUCGAGGAAGCACCGGCUAACUACCGUGCCAGCAGCCGCGGUAAAGUCACA